GACGAGGGAUCCUAGCGUUGUUCGGAAUCAUUGGGCGUAAAGCGGGUGCAUGUGGCUUUAUAAGUCAGGUGUGAAAUCCCAGGGCUCAACCCUGGAAGUGCAUUUGAUACUGUAAAGCUUGAGUGCUGGAGAGGUAAGUAGAAUACCUGGUGUAGUGGUGAAAUACGUAGAUAUCAGGUGGAAUACCGGAGGCGAAGGCGGCUUACUGGCCAGACACUGACACUCAGACCCGAAAGCGUGGGGAUCAAACAGG
rnacentral:rRNA from 1 species